rnacentral:rRNA from 1 species
UCAGCAGCCGCGGUAAGACAGAGGGUGCAAACGUUGCUCGGAAUUACUGGGCGUAAAGCGCGUGUAGGCGGGACGAUAAGUCAGGUGUGAAAUCCCUAGGCUCAACCUAGGAACUGCAUUUGAAACUGUCGGCCUUGAGUGAUGGAGAGGAUGGCGGAAUUCCUGGUGUAGAGGUGAAAUUCGUAGAUAUCAGGAGGAACACCGGUGGCGAAGGCGGCCAUCUGGAAAUCUACUGACGCUGAGACGCGAAAGCGUGGGGAGCAAACAGGAUUAGAUACCCUGGUAGUCCACGCCGUAAACGAUGAGUGCUAGGUGUCGUGGGUUUUGACCCCCGCGGUGCCGAAGCUAACGCAUUAAGCACUCCGCCUGGGAAGUACGGUCGCAAGACUAAAACUCAAAGAAAUUGACGGC